UUCCACCUUCACAAACCCUUCUCCAUGCUGGCACAUCGAAGACGUAUGUAGCCGCUUCCUGACACAACCACCGGUCCCAUCUAGCACAGACCAUUCCAAUGGGUACUUGGGCUCGAACCCAGGUAAACAGGCACAUCCAAAUUCAUUUAGAUUCGCAAGUUCACACGUACUAUAAGCACCACAAUGUCCAUAAUAGUCGCAGUGAAACUGAGGGUACUUCCAGUAUUCCUUCCACUGACCAUCACUUUCUCGCCAUGUUAAAGCCCUUACAUGUCCUGGAUGAUCCAUUAUUAAUCUUAGCAGAUAAGAAUUAUCAGGAACUGUGUAGACCCAGUAUAUUUCAUCUGGAUCAUUUACAAAAGUGCUUUGGUGUAAGCCUACUUGACUUCUCCAUGGCCAAGGAGGAGAUCUACUAAAUGGCUUUGUACCAUUAUAGAUAAAGAUUUGCGGGGUGCCAUUUGGGUUGAUCAUAAGAGAAAAGUCUCCAAUCCCAGGGUCUUCAGCUGAUCUCCAUGAUGUUAGGAACCGAUCAAUUCCUAAUUUUCGAUCCAGCCCCAGUUUCAUUCCAGGAAGCAUGAUGUUCGUAGGAUAAUCGAAGCUUUGCCAUACAGUUUUUCUGCUUCUUUUCCUGACCAAUAUCAAAUUUCCUGAAUCCAAGAGUUGAGCUUCACAAGUAUCAUUUUCUUCCACUGAAACAUUUGUAGACCACACAGGAAGCUUUUGGUCAUCGUUACCAUAGAGAACGAGGUUACCAUAUUGGUUUAUAAAGAGAAAUCCUGAGGAACCAAUGAUUGGAUCGUUCCUGUUUGCAACCCACACCACAGUUUGUUCUGGUACUUUAUGGUACCAAAUUCCAAGAUAUCUAUUGCUAGAACUACCUGGACUGAAAAAUCCUAGUGCAAAAUUAUUUCCUUCGGAGAUAAGAACGUCACCUUCUUUAAUGGUUUGGUUGGUCUUUAAGGAGUCUAGUGAUGUACAUGAUGAGAAUUGGAGCAGUAAAAGAGAAAAAAGCAGGAACAGUUUUUCAGCUUCCAUGAUGGGGUAAAGUGGAUCUUGGCUUUUGGAAAGUGUCAAAUUUUGCUUUGUGGAGAAUGGAUAUGGCCUUCAGACAAGUCUCCAGAGAAGUUGCGUGACGGAAUUAGGCAUCUCUUUAAUGAGUUACUCUUUUCAACCUUCAAAGUCUAGGCAAUGACUUGUUUUUGUUAAAAUAUCAAUUCAGAUUUUUUGGAAACGACACAGUCCUCUAGUUUUAGAAAUAUGUAGUAGGUUGCAGACACAUACAAAAACGACAUAAAAAAGACAAUAAACACAAAGAAAGAUAGAAUUGCGUCGAAAAAGACAUCAACCAUAAUAAUUAUAAUUCAAACUUUUAUUAGUCAAUAUUUUUCUAAACAAAUUUAAAUAUUAAAACUUUUCAUAAAUCACCAUAAACAAAACUUAAAAAUUAAUAAAAUAUUUCUAAAGUAAAUAGAAAAAAAUAUUAAAUCAACUUGGAAAAUAUGACAUUUUCAAAAUAGUAAUUUCUAGUACUAGCUUGGAGGCCUUAACGAGCUUAGAUGCCUUCAUAAAUCAAACCCUAUACAGAGAUCAUGGCUUCUAGAAACAAAAUUUAUGUCCAUUAUUUUAAGGCCAUGUGUUGGAUAAAAAUCUCUUACAUCAAUCUCCCCAUGUUGGAAAUAACUGGUCUUCAAGUUCAAAUUGUUCUUGUUUUGACCUCAUGAAUGCUCAAUCAAAGCUGUAAAACUCCCUUCCUUUCUUCCGUUAAGGUAUAUAACAAUAUUAGAUAUCAACUUUAGUUCUUUAUUAAUACAUGUUGUAUCUAUAUAACCCCUGAACAAUUCUACCUUUAUGAUAAUAAUAAACUUAUAAUUAAAAGGAUCAACAUAACCUAAAUCAAUAAUUUAUUUUUGCUACUUUGCACUUAAUUUCUAACCUAUCAAUAUGAACACCAUUGAUGACAUUAUUGCUACUUUGCAAUCAUUGUUUAUGCUAUUAUUAUUAUCAAAAGUUUGGCUAGGUGAUCAUAUAUAUAAUUUUAGUUUUCUUUGUUAUUUUUUUUUCAUUUGGAUCAUUUUUGUUUCUGAGUUUUUUAGAACUUGAUUUUGGUUCUUGAGAAAUAAUUAGAGUUGUCAGUGUCACGCAAAAAAAUAAGGAAGGAUUUGAUCUUCCAUGUGUUUGGUCUGACAAAUAUAAGCUAUGUGGCUUUCUAACUUUUUUUUUUUAUGUGUUUCUUGUGCUAUAUUGUUGAUUCCUCUAUUUGUUGCAUGAUCUUAGGAGGUUUUUAAAUAUUGUAAGGAUCUCUUGCUUUCUCAAUUUAUUGUAUUUUGUUGCGCUCUAUUUUUUUUAUUUUUUUGCAUAUAUAUUGUGUUUGAGCAUAGCAUGUGUUGUUAUUUAUUUUUGGACCUCACAUAAACAUACAAAAUACAAAAAAAAAUUAAAAAAAUGAAAAAAAAAUAUACAUCAGUGGGAAGAACAUGAAAAAUAUCUAGAAAAUUGCCACAGACUAGUGGGGGGGAAUCAAAAUAUUCAAAGUUAAAAAAUUGACAGUUCAAUUUUGAAUCAUGAAGGCCAUAUUAACAAGAAAAGUUCAAUCUGAGAAGAAAAAUUCGAAAUUAGAUGUUUAAUAACUCAAUUGGAAAUUUUCAAGGUUUAAUUGUAUUUAUUGAGGGCUUAAUUGCAAUGAAAAUUAGUUUUAAAGUUCAAUUUGGACUUUAAUAGGAAGAAAUUGAAGUUUAGGGGUUGAAUUGUAAUUUUGAAAAGCUAAUUUAGUAAGUUAAAAACAUGACAUGACAUCAUUAAUAUGAUGCGGCAGAUGAAGUGAUGGUGCACCCUUCCUGUUAUAACCCAAUUUUAGCCCAUUGGCUUUUAAAUUUAAUUUUACAAGGUUUAAAAUUUAAAAUUAAAAUAUAAGAGAUUUAUUUCGAUGAAAAGUGUGAUUUGUCAACUUGCAUGAAAACUAGAGACUAUAAUGUGCUUUUGUCAUUCUAUCAUUAUCUUCAAGAUAAUCUCUAUCUUCAAGAUAAUCCUUGUCUUCAAGAUAAAGAUACUUAUCCGCUUCCAAAUUUGAUUCUUAAUCAAAUUCAAACUUCAAAAAAGAGAAUGAGUUUAAUUGAAACUUAAAAGGAGAGAACCCAAAAAAAAAAAAAACCAAGAAUAGAGGGAGGAGAGACUGAAAACAGGAGAAGAAGGAGAGCAUUCUCCUGUCGGUGCCUACACUGCUACCUUCGCCUUCGGUUUCACCAGGUAAAGUCUUCUUCUUCUCUCUGUUUUUGUGUAAUUGUUGCAAGAAAACAGUGCCAAUGUAACUUAAUUACCUUCAUAUUGUGCAGUGCACGCGUGGGUUGAGCCACGCUUGCUUGCUGCCCAGCCAGGUCACUGGCUUGGAGCCAGUGACCAGGCUGGGUUGGCUGGGUCCAGCCCAGCCCAUGUUGGUUGGGCUCAACCCAACCCCAAAAAAAAGAAAAGAGAGUGGGUCGAAUCUGGGCUAUAGGCUCAGCCCACCCAAAUUAUGUUUAUUAAGGGUGUGUUUGGCAAAACACACCCUUAUGUCUUGGUCAUAAUUUUUAUGCUCAUUUCAGUUUGAUAUUUGGCCAAACGAGCCCCUUUUUGAUACCAGAAAAUUUCAAAAAUAUUUGGGGAUCUUUGUUGGUUGAUUUGUGGGCCCCUCGCACUUUGAUUUAUUUUUUUUUCUUUGCAUUUUGUAUUUGUUUUAAGUUAUGUGCUCAAUCUGUGGCCUAUUAUUGUUAAAUGCAAAUAUGUCGUGCAAUGUUUUUUUUUUAUUUCCAUCUAAAAAGGGCAAAUAAUAAUAAAGGAUAAACAAGAAAAAAAAUGACAUAGAAAAUUUCUUCUUCAAAUGCAUUUUUUGCGAAAAUAUUCACUGACGCUAGAGUCAGGAGUAUCGUAUUUUUUGGAUUUGUGCGAUAUUUACCAACACCAGAGUUGUAAAUAUUCGUAGGAAUUGUUCACUGAUACCAGAGUCCGAUGGUGAAACCUGAAAAUAUUUUAAUAUGGUGCAUCCUUAGUUUUCAAUUGAAUCAAGAAACAAACAUCUUGGGUUAUGUAUAGACAAAUUCAAUUCAUUCGGAUCAUUUGAUGCUCCUUGUUGGCCCGUGAUACGUUUUACAAAUUGUCACCAAACAUAUGUAUGAGGCCGAAGUUCAUGUUUUUAUCAACAGUCAUACCUGGUUAUAAUAGUCCGAGUUAAAAUAUAGAUAUUUGUCUUCGGUGGUGGUUGGAAGGAUUUCAAACCUGCAUACAUCUCUGAGGCCAUGUGGACAAAAUAUAUUUAGCAUGUGAUGUCUGAUCAUUUUGUGUGACAAUCACACUCUAGUGCGAAGAACUAGAACUAGUAAGUUAACGAAUCUGUUAUCCACACACCGACAGCUCUAUUCUAUUUGUUUCGCAUGCGAAGCAGAUGAUAAAAUUCUUUUUUUAUUAUAUAUAUUUUUUAUUUGUUGUUUUUUAUAAAUAUAUUUAAUUUACAGUUUUAUCUUGCAGUAUACAGUUUUUGGACACAAACCAAGCCCCAUUGAUGACCGCAAAAAAGUUAAUGGUGCAAUUUCAUAUUUUAGAUUAGCUAGGACACAUUAUGGUUAAUUGAUAAUUCCUAGAAAGUAUUUUAAUUCAUUGCAAGCAUUCGUGCGUUUUGGAUAAGAUAUGGUCAUCAAGCCAGGUGGCACGCAUCGUUUGGCAGAGACCACAGGCGUUGGAAUUUUUGCCUUAUGGUGUUUUUUCUAUUUUAACUUUUCAGUCCAAGUUUUGUAUAGUUGUGAGACCUUUUAGUUAGGGUAAGUGAAAAUAUCAUAAUCUCAAUUAUGAGUCUGAUGAAAAUAAUAUUUAUUUAAUAUUCUAAUAUUUAUUUGAUUUGAUUUUUAUUAGUUAUGUCAACUUAAUGUAUUAUUUAAAACAAUUUUAUACUUUAGUGGCAUUCCACAAUUGAUAUUCAAAAUUUAUUAAAUCAGAUUUUUUUUUUAAUUUCUUAACUACAAUUUUCAAAUAUAAAGAACUUUGAUUUAUUAAUUUCAAAGAUAUUAUUUUUUAAUAUUUAAAUAGUUAUAUAUUAAAAUAUAUUUUUUAAAUAUUAAAAUAAAAAUAUAUUGGAUAGACGUGAAUCAACUCAAGUUAAUUAUUUAAAUUCAUGAUCAAGGUUAUAAGACCGUUAUAAUCUUGUAAAAAUAUAAAACAAAUAAUCAUGUUCAAUCCAAAAGUAAUCUAAUGACGAAGAAUAAAAUUUAAAAUUAAAAUACUCAAUUAAAAAAGAGUUAACAAAAGAUCUAAGUGCACUCGAGUUAAUUUGCUAAAUCCGCGAUCCGGGUUAUUUAUUUAACUAGAUAUAAAAAAUUUAAAAAUAAAAAACAAACAUGUCAUGCGUGUGGGAUUAAAAAAUAAAAGGCAUUUAACUAACAAAGGGUUUUUUUUUUUUUUUAUCUUCAAGGGGGCUGAAAAUGCAUUAAGUUAAAAAAAAAAGCAUUUUUCAAAAAAUUAACAAUCCAUCCAGAGCAUGACCCACCCACGCACCUGAUCUAUAAAAAUAGGAAAUGAAAAUAAAAAUACUCAUUGAAAAAAAUCGUUUUAAAAAAAUAAGAAUGAGCUUGAGUUAACUUUUUAUAGUCGCUAUAAAGGUUAUAUAUUCCACUGAAUUUAAUAAUAUAUUAUUUAUUAUGUUAUUUUUCAUUUACUACACAACAAUUAAGGGCAAGAUUUUUUUUGUAUCAAAUAAAAAUAAAUAAAUAAAUAGAACAGGCGCGUGGGAUAAAACAAUGGCCUAUUUUUUGUAAGUUAAAUAAGAAAAAAUGGUUUUUUAUAAGCUAAUUAAAAAAUAAAUAAAAAAGAGGUCGUAUGUAUUACCUAAGGAAUGACCCCAAAAGCAUACCAAACAAAGUGAGUAUAUCAUGUGUAUAUCUAAGCAAUUCACUUAAUUUAAUUAAAAAAACAAAUUUUUUUUUAUGAAAAGCUAAAUUUAACAAAAAAACGACAAAAAAACAAAACCUGACCUAAGUCAUUUUUAAAAUUAGUAAAAAACCCCUAUAGACAACAAAUAAAAAAAACAAACUUAAUCUUGAAUUAAAUCAAAUAUUAAAGGAUAAAAUUAAAAAACAUGAGCUAAAAAAAAAAAAAUUCAACCAGAGCUAAUCUUCUAAAUCUAGGUUUAAUAAAUAAGUUUAAUUCAAUGUUGAAGGAUCAAAUAAAAAAAACAUCGUAAAUUUUAUUGUCAAAGCAAAAAAAGAAGCAAUAAAAAAAUGAAGGUGGAUGAAAUCGUAAAAAAAAUCAAUUUUAAAAUGAUCUCAAAUAAAACAAAUAGCACUAAAAAAAAUAGGUACCAGUUGAUAGAUUAAAAAAAAUUUAAAGGAGAAUGAAAUUGAAAAUAAAUUUUGAUUUUACAAAAUAAUCAAAUGAAAAAAAAAUCAAUUGAAAGAAUAAGGACCAAAUCAAAAAGAAAAAUAAAUUUAAUGGCUACUAUGAAAUUUUGGAAGGCUAGCAUGGAAAUCAAAUAGAAAAAUAAAGAAAGGAAUAGCCAACCGCGGCCAAACUGAAUGGACUUACAUCACACGUGCCGCCUAGGAAGGCAGGUCGCGUUAUAAUGAAUAAAAAAAAACCAAAGAAAACAAUUUUUGGUAGUUGUAAGCCGCAACACAUAUCACUUGAACACAACUGGGAGGCUUAUUCACUGGCGGCGUGUUCAACGAAUGCAUCAACCAUUUUUGCUUUUAUAUAUAAUAAUAAUAAUAAUAAUAAUAAUAAUAAAAGGAAAAGUAUGAAUUAGCUCUUAAGAGGCAAGGUUAGAAAAUUGUAAUUUCAAAAGCAAUAUAAUCAUUUUAUUGUCCUAUAAAAUAUAUAAAUCGUCCCUAAACCCAAGGAAAAUAGUUUUUUUUUUAAACAUUUAAGUAAUUAUAUUGUAUAAAAAAUUAAAAGCCCAAGAAGCCAAUGAUUAUUUUUAUAAUAAUCAAUUGAGCAUGUGAAAAGACUGCAUUCCUCUAAGAGAUAGGUAAAGUUUUUAGAUUGAGAAGGGCAAAAUAGUAAAUUCAUUACUAUAAUCCAUAAUAAUUCAACACAUAUCUAUAGUAAUUCUUCCAGGUUUAGGUUUUUGUUAAUUCUACAUGGAAAUCAGGAGUUGAUGUCUGAUAUAUUUUUUAGAACAUUAUAUAAUAUUUGAUUUCAAACAUGUUGUAAGCGAAAAUGGAAAAACGGGUAAAAGGGAGAAAAUUGACAUUGAAAUUGUGGGAUCGGAUAAUUGGUCUUUUCAAUGCAUUUUUCAAUUUUUUUAUAUAUAAAAUGCUUAAAAAACUGGAAAGACUGGAAAGAGAGUUUUGCACUUUCUUGGGCCAUGGUCCAGACAUGCUCAAACUUUGGAUAUGAAGACUUUUGGGCUUGAGUUUUAUAUAUAUAUAUAUAUAAUUAAAAAAAAUCAGAGAUUUCCUUGAGUUUAUUAUUCUAGAAAUCAACGCAAAAAAAUAAUUUGUCAAUUAUUGUUUUUUUAUAUAAAUAAAAAAACUGAAAUUAAUAUCUAAAAUUAUUAUAUAAUAAAAAAAAAACAAAGGGGUUAGAGAGUUUUAAUUUUACAUGUAUAGGAUCAAGAUAGGAAUAAUUUGAAAAUGAGACUAAUGAAGGAGAUUUUUUUUUCUAAAACUUUAUAUUAAUAAUAUAACUUUCAAUUUCACGGUUGAAUCAGCUAUAACUAUGUAAAAGAUUUCAAAAGCUUUGUAAAAAGUUCAUACCCGUCAGAGUUGAGAAGAGGACCAAAAAUUGUGACCGUUCUUGUUCCAACUGUGGGUUCGACAUGGCUGAUCAUUAGCAUAUUUGGUUAUUUGUGGCUCAGGAACAGAGGAGAAAAAGGCAAAGACAAAGCAAGCAUCAAAACAGAAGGUAGAUAGAGUAACUAUCCAUAAAAGAAUAGUUGACGAACACCACACCUAUAGCAUUCCAUAUGAUGAUGCUGUUAGGUUUCUUCCUUGACACUAGGCAGAAUGGAUCAGUUGUUUAGAAUCAGGUUGGGAGUCUUAGCAGUGCUGAAGAGCUUCAUCUGUUGUGAUGUACAGCAUAUUUGUUUUCAUUACAAAUCUAAUGAAACUUCAUAUCAGCAAUUAUUCAGACAGUACAGCUUCAGCGACUAGCAAUUUCAGAAAUUGUCACCUCAUUUACAGAACACUGUCCAUCUUCUACCUCUAAUGCUAUAUCAGGAUUAUUGUCAGAUUUUCUAAAGAGGAAUGCAGGUUGUUUUGGGGAAGGAAUCUCUGUUUCGUUACUCAACAUAAAAACAACCGCUAACAUAGAUGGUCUGUCCGCGGCAUCUUCUUGCACGCACAGUAGACCAAUUUGUAUGCAUUUCAAGGCUUCACGCGGAUCAUACAACUCCGCCAGUGAUGGAUCCACUAUCUCCAAUGCUUUGUCUUGUUUCCAUAAUUCCCACACCUGUGGUGUUCAUAUAAAUCAUUAACAUACAAGAAAUAAGAGCAGACAACAUCUAAAAUUGUGAUCAUUGAAAUUCAGCCAACAGCACACAUGGCUCUCCUAUAACUCACAUAUCCAAUCAAGGUCAAAGGAGGAUCCUGUUGAUAAAAUCUAUUGUUCUUCUUGCCACUCACAAUCUCUAGCAACACGACCCCAAAACUGAAAACAUUUGAUUUUACAGAAAAGUUUCCAAGCACAGCAUAUUCUGGUGACAUAUAGCCACUGCAUCAGAAAAACAAGAAUCUGAAGUUUUAGUAUUCCUGGUAAUCAAUGAUAGUACUUUGUCACUCGGUCUUUGUUUUAGGCAAAGGUACUUACAAUGUUCCUACAACUCUCCUGGUCCUAUCUUCUGUUUGGUUGCCUUCAAAUAUUUUUGCCAUUCCGAAAUCUGAUAUUUUUGGGUUCAUCUCUGCAUCCAGUAGAAUGUUGCUGCAUUUUAAAUCCCUGUGAAUGAUUCUCAACCUGGAAUCUUGGUGAAGAUAUAAAAUCCCACGAGCUAUUCCAACAAUAAUAUCAAAGCGAUUUCGCCAAUCCAAUAACAAUCUUCUGCUUUCAUCUGUCGAAACAAUUAUUUUUCAGACAGGUAAAAUUUGACAACUAGAGUAAAUCAGGGCAAUAAAUACUUGAAGAGACUUACGGAAAAGAAACGAGUCCAAGCUUUUGUUUGGCAAGUAUUCAUAGAUUAAGAUUUGUUCUCCAUCCUGAUUGCAGUAACCUAGAAGUUUAACAAGAUUCCUGUGUUGAAGCUUUGCAAUUACCAUAACUUCAUUUUUAAAUUCUUCUGUUCCUUGUCCUGAACUUCUAGAUAACCUUUUUAUUGCAACCUCCAGUCCAUUAGCCAGCAGACCCUAAAAUCAUCUUACAAGAUUAAGCCUCUGGACUACAAUUAUGCAAAUUAGAGAGGCCAUUUAGUUUUUAGCUAAAUGCAAGAAACUCAACCUUAUAAACAGAGCCAAAACCACCUUGCCCGAGUUUGUUAGCAGCAGAGAAAUUGUUAGUGGCCGCCGUUAUGGUGCUGAGCUUGAAAUAUUCCAAUUCAGUAGAAGUGCUGUUUACCUGCAGUUCAUUACCUUUUUUUGCUCUCUUCUUGAGCCACAAAUAAGCAAACAGGCUAAUGAGAAACCACAAUAAUGCAAUUGAUGGUGCUAAAACGGCCAGCAUCGUUUUUUCACGAGAAUUAUUUGACUUCCUUGUAGUGUCAGCUGCAUGAGAGUGAAAAGAAAAAAGAUUAACUCUAUAGGAAAAACCACCCCAUUUUCCCACGGAAAUAUGACAACACAUAUGGCAAAGGGUAGCCCUUUUGGCACCUAAAACGCACCAAUAUCUAUGGUUUCUUUCCUGCAGUAAAGAGCUUAUUAACUACAGUCAAGUGCAGUGACUAGCAUAGGAAAGCUCAUAUAAAUCAAUAUUUGUAAUGACAAUCCUAUGAAGUAGUAACUGAGCAGAAAAAGGGUACCUAAUUCAUAUGCAUCAAUACGAACAUACAGAUCAUGACUUUCACUCAUAUCAUAUCUAAUGUCUACUAAUUCCUUGUACCAAUUCAAACAACCAUCCCCUUUUCCGGGAAUCACAAUGACUGCGUAUGCAGAGCAUGAACAAUUCCUCUUGCAUUCCAGUUCACAGUCUGCACGACUCUUGCUCAUGUCCACCCAAGCUGCAGCUGAAGUGUCCGGAAGAAUUACAUUUUCCACCUUCACAAACCCUUCUCCAUUCUGGCACACCGAAGACGUAUGUAGCCGCUUCCUGACACAACCACCGGACCCAUCUCUCGUAGACCAUUCUAAUGGGUACUUGGGCUCGAACCCAGGUAAACAGGCACAUCCAAAUUCAUUUACAUUGGCGAGUUCACACGUACUAUAAGCACCACAAUUUCCAUAAUAGUGGCAUUGAAACUGAGGGCACUUCCAGUAUUCCUUCCACCGACCAUCACUUUCUCGCCAUGUUAAAGCCUUUG
rnacentral:lncRNA from 1 species